rnacentral:rRNA from 1 species
GACGAACGCUGGCGGCGUGCUUAACACAUGCAAGUCGAACGGAAAGGCCCUGCUUUUGUGGGGUGCUCGAGUGGCGAACGGGUGAGUAACACGUGAGUAACCUGCCCUUGACUUUGGGAUAACUUCAGGAAACUGGGGCUAAUACCGGAUAGGAGCUCCUGCUGCAUGGUGGGGGUUGGAAAGUUUCGGCGGUUGGGGAUGGACUCGCGGCUUAUCAGCUUGUUGGUGGGGUAGUGGCUUACCAAGGCUUUGACAGGUAGCCGGCCUGAGAGGGUGACCGGCCACAUUGGGACUGAGAUACGGCCCAGACUCCUACGGGAGGCAGCGGUGGGGAAUAUUGCACAAUGGGCGGAAGCCUGAUGCAGCAACGCCGCGUGCGGGAUGACGGCCUUCGGGUUGUAAACCGCUUUCGCCUGUGACGAAGCGUGAGUGACGGUAAUGGGUAAAGAAGCACCGGCUAACUACGUG